rnacentral:rRNA from 1 species
UACAGAGGGGGCAAGCGUUGUUCGGAAUUACUGGGCGUAAAGGGCGCGUAGGCGGCCUGUUAAGUCGAACGUGAAAUCCCUGGGCUCAACCCAGGAACUGCGUCCGAUACUGGCAGGCUUGAAUUCGGGAGAGGGAUGUGGAAUUCCAGGUGUAGCGGUGAAAUGCGUAGAUAUCGGGAAGAACACCCGUGGCGAAGGCGGUUCUCUGGGACGGUACUGACGCUGAGACGCGAAAGCGUGGGGAGCGAACAGG